rnacentral:rRNA from 1 species
GAUGCUCGACAACGGAUAUCUUGGCUCUCGCAUCGAUGAAGAAGUGGCU